GAUGAAGAACGCAGCGAAAUGCGAUACGUAAUGUGAAUUGCAGAAUUCAGUGAAUCAUCGAGUCUUUGAACGCACAUUGCGCCCCCUGGUAUUCCGGGGGGCAUGCCUGUCCGAGCGUCAUUGCUGCCCUCAAGCACGGCUUGUGUGUUGGGCCUCCGUCCUCCUCCCGGGGGACGGGCCCGAAAGGCAGCGGCGGCACCGCGUCCGGUCCUCGAGCGUAUGGGGCUUCGUCACCCGCUCUUGUAGGCCCGGCCGGCGCUUGCCGACACAGCAAUCUUUUUUCCAGGUUGACCUCGGAUCAGGUAGGGAUACCCGCUGAACUUAAGCAUAUCAAUAAGCGGAGGA
rnacentral:misc_RNA from 1 species